GAUGAACGCUAGCUACAGGCUUAACACAUGCAAGUCGCAGGACUGGCGGACGGGUGAGUAACGGGUAUCCAACCUUCCCAUAACUACGGGAUAACCCGUUGAAAGACGGCCCAAUACCGACUGGUAAUGGAUGUGGAUGCUUUUGAUUAGCUUGUUGGCGGGGUAACGGCCCACCAAGGCGACGAUCAGUAGGGGUUCGGAGAGGAAGGUCGCCGACAUGGGUGCUGAGGACCUGUACAAACUCCUACAGGAGGCAGCAGUGAGGAAUACUGGUCAAUGGGUGAGUACCUGAACCUGCCAAGUAGCGGGCAGGAGGACGGCCGAUGGGUUGUAAACUGCUUGUAUGUGGGGAUAGGUAGCACAUGAAUAAGGACCGGCUAACUCCGUGACAGCCGCCGCGGUAAUUC
rnacentral:rRNA from 1 species